AAUAAGUAUAAGUUUUGCACUAUUUAUAUCCAACGUUUGACCAUUCAUCUUAUUUAAAUUUUUUUAUGAUUAGUAUUUUUAUGGUUAUUAGAUGAUAAAACAUGAAUAAUACUUUAUGUGUGACUAACUUUUUAUAUUUUUUAAAUAAGACGGACGGUCAAACAUUGGACACAGAUACCUACGACUGCACUUAUU
rfam:Oryza glumipatula chromosome 3, whole genome shotgun sequence.